UAUUACAAAUCAUAAUCCAUUUAACUUUUUUACGUACCAACAGGAUAUGAAGUCAGCAAAAGUUAUGUGCUUUCCCAGCUGAAACAAGGAAAAGUGUGGAGAAAAGGAAUAGGAUUUUUUCAACAUCAGAGUCCAGCAGAUGGGAAGAUUUCUCCUAUUGAUGUGGAUAUUCUAAGAAGUGUAUUCAGAAACUCUUCAAGGAUCUGAGGUUAAGUUUAUAUAGGACUCUUUAAUAAUUAUGGUAAGUUAGGUACUGAUCAAUGAGUAAUCUUCCAAGGUAAUUGCAAUAGUUGAUUAAAGCUUCCAUAAAGGCUGUGUAUUCUCUGAGAAGAUGACAGAUGUUUUCUUUUUCUCACCCAUCCCAUGGCUUCAUUGGGUAAAUAAUGAAUUCAUGGAUCAUGUAAGUGCUUGAGAUUGGCCUGGACAUAUGAUGAACAGUGGUGACAGGGAUGAGUGAGAAGAGAUUUUUACAGUCAGAAGGGAGUCUGUUUUCAGCUGUGCUGAUAUCUAACAUUAUAGGUACUGGAGUGUAGGGGGAGGCAUAUUUGCCAGAAGCACAUGAGAAGGUUAGUAAAUUAAAGGAA
rnacentral:lncRNA from 1 species